UAAGCAUAUCAAUAAGCGGAGGAAAAGAAACCAACAGGGAUUGCCCCAGUAACGGCGAGUGAAGCGGCAACAGCUCAAAUUUGAAAUCUGGCCCCCAGGGUCCGAGUUGUAAUUUGCAGAGGAUGCUUUUGGCAAGGUGCCUUCCGAGUUCCCUGGAACGGGACGCCAUAGAGGGUGAGAGCCCCGUCUGGUUGGAUACCGAGCCUCUGUAAAGCUCCUUCGACGAGUCGAGUAGUUUGGGAAUGCUGCUCUAAAUGGGAGGUAUAUGUCUUCUAAAGCUAAAUAUUGGCCAGAGACCGAUAGCGCACAAGUAGAGUGAUCGAAAGAUGAAAAGCACUUUGAAAAGAGGGUUAAAUAGUACGUGAAAUUGUUGAAAGGGAAGCGCUCAUGACCAGACUUGGGCCCGGUGAAUCAUCCAGCGCUCGUCGCUGGUGCACUUUGCCGGGCUCAGGCCAGCAUCAGUUCGCUCCGGGGGACAAAGGCUCUGGGAAUGUGGCUCCUCCGGGAGUGUUAUAGCCCACUGCGCAAUACCCUGGGGCGGACUGAGGUUCGCGCAUUCGUGCAAGGAUGCUGGCGUAAUGGUCAUCAGUGACCCGUCUUGAAACACGGACCAAGGAGUCGUCUUCGUAUGCAAGUGUUCGGGUGUAAAACCCCUACGCGUAAUGAAAGUGAACGCAGGUGAGAGCUUCGGCGCAUCAUCGACCGAUCCUGAUGUUCUCGGAUGGAUUUGAGUAAGAGCAUACGGGGCCGGACCCGAAAGAAGGUGAACUAUGCCUGUAUAGGGUGAAGCCAGAGGAAACUCUGGUGGAGGCUCGCAGCGGUUCUGACGUGCAAAUCGAUCGUCAAAUAUGGGCAUGGGGGCGAAAGACUAAUCGAACCUUCUAGUAGCUGGUUUCCGCCGAAGU
rnacentral:rRNA from 1 species